UACGGAGGAUCCAAGCGUUAUCCGGAAUCAUUGGGUUUAAAGGGUCCGUAGGCGGUUUGGUAAGUCAGUGGUGAAAGCCCAUCGCUCAACGGUGGAACGGCCAUUGAUACUGCCAGACUUGAAUUGAUUAGGUAAGUAACUAGAAUAUGUAGUGUAGCGGUGAAAUGCUUAGAGAUUACAUGGAAUACCAAUUGCGAAGGCAGGUUACUACUAAUGGAUUGACGUUGAUGGACGAAAGCGUGGGUAGCGAACAGG
rnacentral:rRNA from 1 species